CUCUGGGUGAGCGUUUUCCUGUUUGCUUACAGCGGAAUAUAGCUCAUUGAGUGCAGUCUUAGUGCCAGUCUCUGUAUGUGGCCGUAUGUAGACAGCUACGAGAAAAUUCAGCAAGUUUCUGCUUUGUUUCUGUAAAAGAAACCAACCUUGAACUUCAACUUCUUCACCAGCUCAGCGACAAGUUUUUGCUAAAUGACAGUUUGUCAUCAAGCCAGAUACCAAGAUAUUUUGUAGGACGGAACUCGCUCAAUUUGUAUACCGUUCAAAUUAGUCAUUACAAAUUCAUUUAAAUCUGGGUUAUGGGACCAAGAUGCAUUGUGUUUUGUUUGCAUUUAUCGCUAACUCUAGAUCCAGUAGUGACCUCUGUUGUGGUUGAAAAUCAGACUUCAAAUGUGAAAAGGCUUGUCCCAACCGAUGGAGCAAUGGAGUACAACACUAUCGUCUGUAGACAAAUUAAUAUUACGUUGUUGUUUUUUACAGCAUUACCAAUGUUACCAAUUUAUACAGAUUGUAAACAGUGUGGGCUGAGUAUCGUUCCUUGGGGCACCCCUUCAUGUAACUUAAGGAACUCAGAUUUGACCCCCCCAUCUACCUUGAUGGCCUGAGUUCUGUCACUGAGAUCAUUAUUAAACCAUCGACAAGGCGUCAUUACCCAACCCUAUGGAGGACAGCCUAUUCAACAGAAUAACAUGGUCUACAGUAUUAAAAGCUACAAACAUGGCAACACAAUUAUUUCUAUCAUCUAAGGCAUUUGCAAUAUCAUUUACGACAGGCAUCAUGGGAGCCAUAGUGAUGCUAUGUUUAGGUCUGAAGCAUCAUGGAAGCCAUAGUGGUGCUAUGUUUAGGUCUGAAGCAUCAUGGGAGCCAUAGUGGUGUUAUGUUUAGGUCUGAAACAUCAUAGUGGUGCUAUGUUUAGGUCUGAAGCAUCAUGGUGGUGCUAUGUUUAGGUCUGAAGCAUCAUGGGAGCCAUAGUGGUGCUAUGUUUAGGUCUGAAGCAUCAUAGUGGUGCUAUGUUUAGGUCUGAAGCAUCAUGGGAGCCAUAGUGGUGCCAUGUUUAGGUCUGGAGCAUCAUGGGAGCCAUAGUGGUGCUAUGUUUAGGUCUGAAGCAUCAUGGGAGCCAUAGUGGUGCUAUGUUUAGGUCUGAAACAUCAUAGUGGUGCUAUGUUUAGGUCUGAAGCAUCAUGGGAGCCAUAGUGGUGCUAUGUUUAGGUCUGAAGCAUCAUAGUGGUGCUAUGUUUAGGUCUGAAGCAUCAUAGUGGUGCUAUGUUUAGGUCUGAAGCAUCAUGGGAGCCAUAGUGGUGCCAUGUUUAGGUCUGGAGCAUCAUGGGAGCCAUAGUGGUGCUAUGUUUAGGUCUGAAGCAUCAUGGGAGCCAUAGUGGUGUUAUGUUUAGGUCUGAAUCCAGAUUGAUUAACAUUAAAAACACAAUUUACAGUUAGAAAAUAACUCAGGACAGGAACGUCUAAGAGUCCAGGAGGACCAUGGAUUAGUUUGGGUUUCUGGGUCUCUUGAAAGAGGCAUGCUUAUCAGCCAGAGGUAGACAAAUGGAUGAUAAGAUUAAAAGUGCCAAAACAGGGCCUGGUAUGCAGCUAGUAGAAAAAUAAUAUAGAUCAUGAAGGAAUGCCUGGGGCAAUAAUUUUUUUAACAUGUCUUUUCACAUUUAUGCCAGGGUCAGAGUUUUUCAAUUUGGUAUCUCUAAUGCAAGCAAUAGGCCAGUGGUCGCUGAUAUAAUCAGCAAAUACACUACUAGCCAAAUACUUAUGGGCACGUCAGUAUAACGCCAAUCAACAAGGAGUUUGCUCUUUUAAAUGAUUUUUUAAAAUGUUGAUUCCUAUUGAAUUUCAUUAUCAGCUGAGUCAAGUUCAACUCAAAACAGAUAUUCUUACGUUGAUAUGAGGCUUGUGGGAGCCAAUCAAAAUGUAGAUUUAACACAACAAGAUCAGAUACCAGAAAUGGAUGUAAUAAUCAGAAAUAUUACCGACAGCAUUUGCUGUCCUUAUUCAAUACUGUAUAGACUGGAGUUUUUUUUUAUUUUUUAUAAAGGACUGCUCUUAUUUCUUACCCAGAAUGCCUCACAUCUGAUCCGUUCCUUAUUCUUAUUAGACCUGAGUCAAAUACAAAAUAUUUUCAAAUACUCAACAGUAUUUAAGCAGCACUGGAUUUAGAAUUCGCACCUUUGGGACUAUUCUAUUGAUUCCAUUGUACAGGGGCCGAACUAAAUCGGCUCAUGUAUGUGGAAGUACUUGAAGUAUGUAUUGGACCGAGAUGUGAUUGUUGCUGUCAGAUGUGUUUUUUUCUCCUUCUCAGUCAUGUUAGGUCUUCUACCCCCUGGUCUGUGAUGACGUUGUUAUUGCACCAAUGCUCUGUGUUGUCCUAACUUCCAUCAGCUCAACUAUUAAACUGUUUCCAACUUGG